rnacentral:lncRNA from 1 species
CUCUAGUGCCCAAUGACGAGAACACUAAUUCAAAGUUUCUCCAGAGAUUUCUUUUCAUGAACGUGAGAUACAGCAAAGUCCCUUUCUUCAGUGCUAAAAAUUUUGUUAUCGGCUUUCAUUUUGUAGUAUUUUAUAUGCGAAGUGAUGAUACUGAAAAUUAAUGUAGUUAGUUAAUUAAGCUCCAUUAAUAGCUGAGAAAUAUUUCACAAUUUUUCCACUACAAAUUAUGUGUUAUAUUUGUUUGGUUUCUUUACUUUAUUUUGCUGUUAUGGGUUUUUGAUCAAAAUAGCCUUGCACGGGAAGCAAAAGAUGUUUGCUGAUUACAUUUGUUACUUCCCCGCUCUGUGAAAAGGAACCAGACCUACGUUGGAAAUGUCGUGCUUCAAGCAGUUCGGACUGCAGCUACACAUGAGACUUACGUAGGAUAUUUUUGUAAAAAUACACAGGUUGCUGCAAAUGAAACAUCAACAGAACAAACAUCUUUGCCAUCAAAGGAGACGUCUAGUGUCUCGUCUAGUGUCUCACCUAGUGUCUCAUCUUCCUCCAGUGUCACACAGACUCCUGAACCAGAAACACACGGGAAUGACCAUAUUUCAGGAAAAGAACUCUCCACUUCAUUAGUGGCAGCCCUCAGCAUUUUCUUUGUGCUCUUUUUAUUUUUGUUGUUAUUAGUAUUUGGUGUGCACGAAAAAAGUCAAAGGAGCGAAGAAGAAAUGAAGGUAAAGAUCUAUAUAUUUUCCUUUCUGUGUGUUUAUUAUAAGAUUAAGAAUGAAAUAAUUGCAUGAAUUGUAUUUUGCAACAGAACUAUUUGGGGUGUGGGCUUUGUGCUAUAGCCACUUCCUCUGAUUUUUUUUAUGUUCAUCUUGUGGUUCUUUUCCAUUAAAUGGAAGUUCAGUAUGUGCUUAAGUGCUUUACUAGAUCAAGAGUAUCCUGGACAACAAACAGUGUUAGCUGAACACAGCAGAAAUAAGAAUAACAAAUAUUUGUCCAUUUUCAAGCAAUAAUUCAUAUAAAUCAUGCUUAUAUUGCUUUCUAUUUGACAUUUGUAAACCUAUAUGUGAAUGGCUCUUUGCUUUUGGAAAUGCUUGCAGAAUGGCUGUAUUUUGUCUGCACUUUUACAGAUUUGUGUAUUAGAAAUAAUAUUUACUCUUUGUUAUUUUGUUAAUGCUCUAUUUAAAAUGUUUAUGAUUGCUCAAGUAAUUAGAAAAAUUCUCUCUAGUUUAGCUGACCAGUCCCACAGAGUGGGUGCUGAAUACUUAGCAGUUCAACUACCUGAGAACUUGGAAUGAUUUGUGUGAAUGAAGUUUGUACAACAUAUGGCCUGACAAAUGCACUCACAAAGCAGUUAGUCUGGUUCAUUGCACUGCAGUUCUGUUGUGUGCUGAUCGGCAAGGGAGGCUGGCAG